rnacentral:rRNA from 1 species
GACGAACGCUGGCGGCGUGCUUAACACAUGCAAGUCGAACGGAAAGGCCCUGCUUUUGUGGGGUGCUCGAGUGGCGAACGGGUGAGUAACACGUAAGUAACCUGCCCUUGACUUUGGGAUAACUUCAGGAAACUGGGGCUAAUACCGGAUAGGAGCUCCUGCUGCAUGGUGGGGGUUGGAAAGUUUCGGCGGUUGGGGAUGGACUCGCGGCUUAUCAGCUUGUUGGUGGGGUAGUGGCUUACCAAGGCUUUGACGGGUAGCCGGCCUGAGAGGGUGAUCGGCCACAUUGGGACUGAGAUACGGCCCAGACUCCUACGGGAGGCAGCAGUGGGGAAUAUUGCACAAUGGGCGGAAGCCUGAUGCAGCAACGCCGCGUGCGGGAUGACGGCCUUCGGGUUGUAAACCGCUUUCGCCUGUGACGAAGCGUGAGUGACGGUAAUGGGUAAAGAAGCACCGGCUAACCACGUG